AUGGACGAUGCAGGUUCAGAGUCAACAGCUGUGCCCCUCGAUUUAUUACUACAAAUCACAGAUGGUUUCUCCGAGGAGCGGAAACUUGGUAGUGGUUCCUUUGGAGAGGUUUACUUGGGUGUGCAUCCAGACGGGCAAAAGAUUGCUGUGAAGAAGAUCUAUGAUAUGCCAGGAGUUGACGAGGAGCAAUUUCAGAAUGAGUUUAAGAACCUUGCAAGGCUGCAGCACCGAAAUAUUGUGCGGUUAGUUGGCUAUUGCCACCAUAUUCAGGAAGUACCAGCAAUGUAUGAAGGAAAAUUGGUUCUUGCGGAAAAGAUACAUAGAGCGCUCUGCUUGGAGUAUAUGUCUAAUGGAAGCCUUGAAAAAUAUAUUUCUGAUGAAUGUGAUAAAUAUGAUUGGCACACUGGCUACGGAAUAAUUAAGGGGAUUUGCCAGGGUUUGAAAUACCUCCACACUAAAUUAGAGCCACCUAUUUAUCAUUUGGAUUUAAAGCCAGCCAACAUAUUGCUGGAUGAGAACAUGGUUCCCAGAAUUGCAGAUUUUGGGAUAUCAAGGCUGUUUGGAGAUGAACGAACGCGAGCUACAAAAAGUACUUUAGGAACACAAGGGUACUUACCACCGGAAUACAUACGCAACUAUUUAAUCUCAAGUAAAUUUGACAUAUUCAGCCUGGGUGUUGUAAUCAUAAAGAUAAUGGCAGGACGGGCGGGCUACUACAAAAGCGCUGAAAUGUCUUCCCACGAGUUCAUUAAUGUUGUACAGGAAAAUUGGACAAAUAGGCCACAUGAAACAUCGAGUCUGAUGAAGGCAUAUUCCAAGCAAGUAAAGAUAUGUAUUGAAAUAGGUUUAAGUUGUGUGCAGGAGGAUCGACACAAAAGGCCCACUGUACAGAAUAUUGUUGAUAGACUGAAUGAGACAGAAACUGAGUGUACCUGUGCGUAUAAGAAAUUUGAGGUGCAGGAGAACUCAGGGGGGCUCACCCCUAAUUAUUUCAUGAAUAAUGGCCGCUCUGUCAGUGAAGUGCCUCUGAACAAUGAUGCAGGCCCUUCCAUACAAGCUAGAACGGCAUGGCAAUAUCCUACAGACAUGACUGCACAACAAGAACUUGGCGAACGACAAGCAGCUUCGCUUCCUAAUGGAAUUUAUGAGCCUCCUAGGCAGAUAAUGGAAGGUUUUCCUGAAUCUGGAGGCACCACUACAGUUGAAAGACAGGAUCUUGCAGUCAGAGUUCAAGAAGCAAUCACUGAUCCUUUUGUCGUCAAAGACUGCCGAAGCGCAUUAAAUGGAAAGAGUUAUCCUCCAUCUAAAGAAGAAGCGGUACAUCGUUUGGAGAGCGUUUCUCUAAAGGGGAAGCGUUGCAAUGACCUAGCUGAUAAAAAUAUUACUACAGUGAAGCGCUUUAUGGGUCAUUAUCACAGAGAUAAAUCUGGUCUCCAAAAGGAGGAGGACUGGAGUACCACGGUAACACAUGCCACCACGUGUGAUCCUGGGGUUGAGAUCUAUUCUUAUGGAGUUGCAGAGGAAAAUUGUGAACUCUUAUUCACUUUUUUUUAUGAUCUUGUCGGUGUGCUGACCAAUGGAGAUUAUGUUCCUGCUAGUGACCUUGAUCAGUUUCAGCAGCUUAAAGUGAAGAGCUGGAAAUUGCCCGCAUUCAAGAAAUUUGAGGAGCGGGAAAAAUUAGGGGUUCUUAUUCCUGAUUAUUUGAUGAUGAAUGGCUGCCCUGUCCGUGCAGUGUCUCUGAACAAUGAUGCAGGUCCUUCUGUACAAGCUAGAACUACAUGGCAAUAUCCUAAUGACAUGGCCGCACAACACGUAUUUGGUGAUCGACAUCCAUUGAAUGGGUUCUCACGGGCCACAGUCCUGUCAAACAAUGACGCCGGUCCUUCAAACCAAGGAACACUGCCGUUUUCGCAGCCCAUGUAUGAACAGACUGUGCAUCAAGGAAAUGGUCAGCACGAUCCUUCUAUGGCGCAGAAUGGAAUUCCUUAUUAUCUGCCCCAGGGAAAUAUCUUAAAUGAUCAGGGAUCACUUUCAGCACAGCCAACUCCGUUCCACAAUUUUCUACCAGUUCCAGCGGAUGAGAUGAUCACAGGUGCAAGUCUAACUGACGAACAGACUAAAUACUUCUCGACAACUGAUUCUCUUGGCACUCUAGAAAAUGUAAUUCCUGGGCCUGAAUUGGACAUACCUUUGAAACAAGGUAACUGGAGACAGCUUCUGGGAAUUAAUACAGGAGACUUGAAGCAGGUGAUCAUAGCAUGCGGUAAGGCCGUUGCUGCGAAUGAUAUGUAUGCAACAGAACUAUUGAUAUCUGAGCUAGGUCAGCUGGUGUCUGUCUCUGGAGAUCCAAUGCAACGCCUAGGAGCAUAUAUGUUGGAAGGCCUUGUUGCCAGAUUUUCUUCCUCUGGAAGUAAGCUGUAUAAAUCCUUGAAGUACAAAGAACCUACAAGCUCCGAGCUCAUGUCUUACAUGCAUUUCCUUUAUGAGAUGUGCCCAUCCUACAAGUUUGGUUACAUGUCAGCCAAUGGCGCCAUAGCAGAGGCUGUUAAAGGCGAGAACUUGGUUCACAUCAUUGAUUUCCAAAUCGCACAGGGGAGCCAGUGGACAACUAUGAUUCAGGCUCUUGCAGUGAGGCCCGGGGGUCCACCAUGCCUAAGAAUCACUGGUAUAGAUGACUCAAAUUCUGCUUAUGCCCAAGGUAGUGGACUGGACAUGGUUGGAACAAGAUUACAUAAUGUCUCUGCGUCGUGUGGUGUGCCCUUUGAGUUCAAUGCUGUUCAUGCUGCUAGCCAUGAGGUUUAUCUUAAGCAUCUUGAUAUAAGACCUGGGGAGGUCAUUGUGGUGAAUUUUGCCUAUCAGCUGCAUCAUACUCCUGAUGAAAGCGUGAGCACGGAAAAUCAUCGGGACAGAAUUAUAAGAAUGAUCAAGAGCCUAUCCCCCAGGGUGGUGACUCUUGUUGAGCAGGAGUCGAAUACAAACACAGCUCCAUUCUUCUCAAGAUACUUGGAGACCUUCGACUACUAUACGGCAGUGUUUGAGUCAAUAGACUUUGCUCUCCCAAGGGAUGACAAGAUACGGGUUAACACAGAGCAGCACUGUCUUGGAAGGGAUAUCAUCAGUUUAAUCGCGUGUGAGGGUGCUGAAAGGGUUGAGAGGCAUGAGGUGUUUGGAACAUGGAAGGCAAGGUUUGCAAUGGCUGGAUUUAGGCCGUACCCGCUGAGUUCAAUGGUGAACAGCACCAUCAAAACACUGCUGGAUGACUACCACAGUUGGUACAGGCUUGAGGAAAGGGACGGAGUCCUUUACCUAGGUUGGAAGAGCAGAGUGUUGGUCGUGUCUUCUGCAUGGCGCUGA
rnacentral:rRNA from 1 species